rnacentral:lncRNA from 1 species
GAUACAUGGUCAUUGCAGGAAAAUUCCAUAAUGUAUUGAAAACACACACAGACUAACUGAUGAGAUUCUUUCGCUUCCCAAGUGACAGAAUGCCAACCUAAACCAGCUUCAUCCAAGAGGAAUCUAUAGUUCACAAUAGCUGGCACAAGAUUGCAGGAAAAACACCAGAGAUUAGGGGCUUGGAGACUGGAACUGGAGAUGUAGUACUCAUAGGAUUUGCUUUCUCUGUCUUCCCUCCUCUCUCCUUGUCUUGAUUUUUCUUCACACGUUGGCCUCUUUUUCUCUCCAGAGUGAACUUCUAGUUGGCAGGAAACAUGGAGUGAGGCAGCCCCAGCUUUCCAAUUAAACACAGUGGAAGGAAAGCAUCCUCCCAAUUUCCUAUCUCAUUCUCAGGGAAGGACUCUGGCUCUGCUUGAGUGAUAGAGUGACAUGUUCACCCCUUGGCCUCCAAAACUGUUGCCAGGAGAAUUAGGGUGCUAUAUUGAGCAAGUGUACUGUAAUGGACAACCAGUGUUCACAUUUUUAGUACAAUUCUUCCAGAUUUUUUGGAUGCGUAUACAUAUACAUCCUUCUGCAGCCCCCAGUCCCGAUGAGCACAUUUCAAAGUACUAAUCAAAAA